rnacentral:rRNA from 1 species
CCUGGCUCAGAUUGAACGCUGGCGGCAUGCCUUACACAUGCAAGUCGAACGGCAGCACGGGAGCUUGCUCCUGGUGGCGAGUGGCGAACGGGUGAGUAAUAUAUCGGAACGUACCCUAGAGUGGGGGAUAACGCAGCGAAAGUUGCGCUAAUACCGCAUACGAUCUACGGAUGAAAGUGGGGGAUCGCAAGACCUCAUGCUCAUGGAGCGGCCGAUAUCUGAUUAGCUAGUUGGUGGGGUAAAGGCCUACCAAGGCAUCGAUCAGUAGCUGGUCUGAGAGGACGACCAGCCACACUGGAACUGAGACACGGUCCAGACUCCUACGGGAGGCAGCAGUGGGGAAUUUUGGACAAUGGGCGCAAGCCUGAUCCAGCAAUGCCGCGUGAGUGAAGAAGGCCUUCGGGUUGUAAAGCUCUUUUGUCAGGGAAGAAACGGUGAGGGCUAAUAUCCUUUGCUAAUGACGGUACCUGAAGAAUAAGCACCGGCUAACUACGUGCCAGCAGCCGCGGUAAUACGUAGGGUGCAAGCGUUAAUCGGAAUUACUGGGCGUAAAGCGUGCGCAGGCGGUUAUGUAAGUCAGAUGUGAAAUCCCCGGGCUCAACCUGGGAAUGGCAUUUGAGACUGCAUGGCUAGAGUGUGUCAGAGGGGGGUAGAAUUCCACGUGUAGCAGUGAAAUGCGUAGAGAUGUGGAGGAAUACCGAUGGCGAAGGCAGCCCCCUGGGAUAACACUGACGCUCAUGCACGAAAGCGUGGGGAGCAAACAGGAUUAGAUACCCUGGUAGUCCACGCCCUAAACGAUGUCUACUAGUUGUCGGGACUUAAUUGUCUUGGUAACGCAGCUAACGCGUGAAGUAGACCGCCUGGGGAGUACGGUCGCAAGAUUAAAANNCAAAGGAAUUGACGGGGACCCGCACAAGCGGUGGAUGAUGUGGAUUAAUUCGAUGCAACGCGAAAAACCUUACC